CAUGCGUGCGUGUAUAUGUGUGUGAAUGUGUAUGUGUGUGUGUUUCCCAUCCUCCUUGUUUUUUACAGACCUGCACUGGGAACUUUCUUUUCAUCUUAGGGAAGGAGGAAUUAAGCUCUGAUUUAAUGGCAGAUACUUGGAACUCCAUUUGCUGAAUCCCCGUCUUUGUCUGAGGUCUUUCUGCUGUUCUGUAACACACCCUUGUAGACUGUGCUACUGUUCUGUACUUUGAUAUGCCAUUGCAGUAGGAUUCUGAGACAUUCUUCCUAUAGUCAGUCUCAGCAUUUACAAAAUCAUGGACAGUUAAAGGUGGACAAUAACUUAGGAAUGAACAAGCCCACUAAGCCCACAUAUUUAAUACUCCAUAAAUUCCAAAAAGGUCCUACCUGCAAUGUCUAACAGCCAAUGCAUUCUGUACACUCAAGACAAAUAAAAGGGGGUGCAGAGUCCACAGCCCCUCCAUGCUUGCUCUCACACAUUCAGUCUGGGUUGUGAAGAGGCCCUGUGAGUUCUAGAAAAGAAACUGAGGCAACUGAAGCAGCGAAGUGUAGCUCAGCAUAGGGUGGAAGCAAGAGAAGCAGCUAUUCAUGGAACAGACUGGAAUUCCUUAACCUGUGCAUAAACUCUGGUCCAGGUAGGUACAGGAUUGAGGAAUAUCAGCUCCAGCCCUGAAGCAUCUCUUUGGUGGCAUAUUUAAAGUUGCAGUGUGUCUUGUCAUCCCCAGAACUCAUGCAAGAUCUCUGGGUUUUGGCCAGGGGCUGUUGUUGCUUUCUCUUCGGGAGGGGAAAAAGAGAGAGGGAUGAGCAGUCUUUCUGUCAGCCAAGUGUCCCAGCAAAGAAUUCCACCCAAGUCUACACAGGCACUGACACCCGAGGGCCAUUGCCAUGCAGGUAAGCUGUCUCGGGUAAUUGGGUUGACAUCACUGAGCCACCUUAGAGAAGUUGAAUCCCUUCCAUGACUCCUGUCACCUGCCAUCUGAUAGCAACCCCCCCAGGUUUGCUGGUGAGUGACUGAUUAUGCAAAACAAAUGAAGGAAACUGAAAGGUCAUGAUUCUUCCACAGGGAAACUUUCCCUUAAGUUAUGACCCAGGUUUCCAAGCAGAAGCUAAGGGCUGAGACCCCAGUUACCUGCAAAUGGGUAUAGAAAAAUGAAGAAUCAUAGCAUUGAAAAUCCAUGGGAGUGGGAGGCACUUGGCCAGCUGCUCUGAGCCCCCAAGAAGAUGGAGAGAUGCUAUAUUCCUAAAGGAGUCUCUCAGUCUGCCUUGCUUUCCAUCUAACAGCCUACAAUUGUGCCUGAUUUCUCAGCUUCUCUGUGGGGCUGCCUAUUACUUGCUUGAAUCCAAGUCUCAUAAUCUCUCGUCAUCAGAAAGUCUUAUGUCCCUUAUCUUACACUGAGGUGCCUUUUAGUACACUUCUGCUGCCAUUGAACUUGGCACAGUAGCGUGCAUGACAUUGUUGUACUAUUCAUUCUAGCUCCCUCCUCAAGCUAUUGACUACACUAGGAUGGGAGCCUGGCUCUGCCAAGCUUUUACAAUAGGGCUUACAGGGUCCAGUUCAACAAGGACCUUCAAAACAUGUCAAUUAAUGAAUGUGGAGAAAGCACUCACAUGGAUAACCUCACUGCUAUCAUCACAUGGUUAAGAAGAUGAGUUUUUAUGCUUAGAGGAAAUAGUAUUUGAAUUCCCAUUUUAUAGAUGAGGGGCAGGCUUGGAGAGAAAGGAAAGCAAUGGAUACAUUUCUAGGACAUACUCAGUGCAUUCAUUCUGCUCAAUACUUUCAAGUCUAUCAUCACCCUUAUUCUCAUAACUGAGCUGAGUAAGUGAUUUUCCUCAGCUUUGAAAAGGCAUUAUUUUGAGUUUUGCAUUCUGCAAAAUCCAUGUGUCUCAGAAGAGAGUUGUUGGCCUUGGACAAAUGCAUUGAGUCCUUUGACCAGCAGUGCAAGCCCAACAUGGAGCUCUUCUAUCCCAAUGAUGCCCUUUGGAGAUAUUCUCUCCCUACUUGAUGCCAAUCACUGGAUAGUUCUUCAUCCCUACAGUGUAUAUAACCACACUUUUAGCCAACAACUCAUCAAGGCUCAGAGAGUUUAAGCAACUAACUCCUGGUAGGCAGCUAACAGGAUUAGAUUUCAUCUUUGAACCCAGCACUUUGGAUUCCUUGUGAAGGUGGAAAGUGGGAAUAUGGAGCCAAGGAAAACAGCUGUCACGUUUUUGUCUUUGAGAGAGGGCUCUGUCUCUUCUGGGCUCUCUUAGAGGCAAGCAAACAACCUCAUUACCAAAGGCAAUAUCUGAUCGUGUUCCGCCUCUGAUCACUCGUAGGUGGUGAAGGAAGACUCCCUCCCCAGUGGAACAAUCUGAAGCCAUGCCUAUCUGUAGGCUGCCCCGCAGACUGUGGUGUAAGGGCUUGGUCUCUUUCCAGUUCCUUUACUUAUCUGUAAGACAAGAGGGUACAGAGAAGAGGUCACCGGUAAACGUUUAGUCUCUCAAUUCAGCAGCUUCUCCACUAAAGCCUGGGGGCCCUUUGCCAGACGGGUGAGUCUGCAGAAAUGAAGGCCUGGGAGAAACUUGAAGAACCAGGAAAUUGGAAAUGAAUGACUAGACGCUCACUCUGCAAUCUAUGAAGAUCUCAGGAUAAGAAUUACUGAAUUCCUCCAUUUCUGAAUUACUGAAUGCCCUCCACUCCUACUGACAUUUUAGCACAUUCAUUCUUCCUGUAUAAAAUGAAAAUCAUGGCCCUCUUUAAGGAUCUGAGUGACAAGUUAAAAAAAACAGAAAAAUUCUCAGUAAUAAACAGGAUUUUCCCCCUACAUGUUAGGAUUAUAAAUGAACUUAUUAUUCAAUAUUUUCCUUCCUGAUUUUGUGUUUUAACACUGAAGUAUUUGUUGAUUUUAUACUAAAGAUCUAUGCAAUAAAAAUACAUCAUUCUGCAUGCA